UUUCCUCGUUCAAAAACACAUAAUCAGUAGGCCUAUCACACUAACAAUGUGUUGCUUCAUCUCCUUAUUUGAAGGAUAUAGCCGAGCUCAAAUCAUUCUCAGUUAAGCCUACAUAGACCUAGGCUUAGGCCACCCAUCGAAUUUCUUUAAUAACAAAACAAUUACAGCCUGAUAACUAUAAAGCAAUAUCUUGUCACUGAUCAACAAUUUAACAUUUUUAAACGUUUCUAUUUGGUUGCAGCGAUAUCGAGUUCGUCUUCACAUGCUAUGAUAUUUUAUGUCGAAGUGGAAAAUCUUUAAAACAUUUUUUUUUUUUUACAAUUGCAGUAUAACCUUAGAUAUGCUUACAUUUACAGGAUAACUUGGAAAUGGAGACGAACCAACCCAACCAUGCUUACCGAUGUGUCAACUAUUAGGCUAUGUCGUCUCGAUUUUAAAUAGUUAAUUUUGUACUAACAGACAAUUCAGGGUGUACGCCUAUGCAGGAAAAAUACAUAAUGUAACGUUGCUGUGUUAAUAUCAGGCUUCUUUCAAAAAGAGAUAGUUGCACUCUAUGCCCAGCAAGAACACAGCGGAGGGCCAACGAGCCAUGGAAGGACGGAAAGAAUGGGGUGUUAUAUUUCCCUCAAAUGCAGCAAGCUUUAAUAGUUCUAAAGAGAAGUCCACCGAUAUCUCUUUUCCAAACUUGUUUCCGAUGGUCUUUACGGUCUUUACCGGAGCAGUGCUAAUUCGAAAGGUUUUCUUUGACUUAAUUUAACCGUUAAUUAGAAACAGAACACCUGACAUCAUAAAUCAUCGAAUCUUAGGGGAGUUGCGUUUUAUAUUAGGCAUAGCUCGAUCUCGUCACUCCCCUUCCCCGGAGCCGGUCCCCUAUACGUCACAUAUUGCUGCUCAUGGCCACUCAAUUUUCCUUGUAGGGCCUACAGUGAAGAUUUGUUGGGGCUGGCUAUUGGAAAGCCGUAUUCAGACUAUCAAAAUAUCAUCGCCAACUGGUCUUUGGAAUAACUGCGGACAUAAACAGUUGGUUUUGAAUGUUGAUUUUCUGAUUCGUUAGGCUCCACUGUAGUUUUUUUUUGUGAUGCUUUGCAGAUGUUCGAGAAAAUAAAGUACCCUGACCUGGUACUUCAAUAAACUUAAACUGGAGAAACACGGGCCUUGUUCCAACAAAUCGUAAAAUAAGCAUAAAUUAUGCAGGUGAAUUGAUUUGUCCAUUUACAUUUUUCUCUCUGUUAGUCUCUGUCCAUGCUUUCAAACAAACUAUUUGAGAUGUAUAUCUCAUCACCAAUAUCAUUUGGCUUUACAAUAUAGUGAAACUUGGGUCGCCCAAUGCAAUACAACUGUUGAGUGACAAAUUUGGAUGUCAUUCAGGUAGCUAGGCGUAUUAUAUUUAUUCGUCACUCUUUCCAUGUUCUUUACUGAAUCCUGUUGCAAAACAAAACAGCUGUACUAACAACGUAAAUAUAACAUGAUACAGGAACACACACUUAACGUGGGCGCAAUAUAGAAGGUUACACGUAUGAGUGAUACAUGCUUACAGGGAAAGAGAGAUGGCUUGCUGAGUUGGCAUCAGAAAACAAUGAAGCAAUAAUAAAGACGAAAUAUUUAUUUAACUAGGCAAGUCGGUUAAGAACAAAUUCUUAUUUUCAAUGACGGCCUAGGAACAGUGGGUUAACUGCCUGUAAUGGUCAGGAUAUUGUGGGAUUUCAUCUCCCCAUCCAAUCAUUAUUUUAUAAGCAUAACAAUAAAUUACCAAUAUUGUAAACUGUAAAUAAAUAAUAUUAAUGUACUAUUGUCAACAUGAAAAAUAAUGGUAGGCCUACUACUAAUAGUUCAGUCAUUCACAACGUUCGGUCACUACUGGAAUCACGAUUACGACAUUCCUUGACAAACCUGAGAAGAGAGGAAAUUGCAUAACUGUAGCCGAUUUCCCUCAAAAUGGUAGUACGCAAUGUAAUCUAUCAUUAUUGACUUCCCCUAUUUUCUCUCCACUGCCAGAAAUAGGUUACACAAGCUUUAUUGAACGAAGCGAUCAUUUCAAGCACCACUGCCUUUUCAAGAAAACAAUGCAGUCAAUCGUCUGGGUAAAUGUAGCCUAAGCUUUGAGUUGCUCGUGUGUUCUAACAAUAAUCAAGGGUAAGCCUAGUACACAACGCAUCAUAAUCGUACUUCAUCACCUCUGAAUAGGAGAGAAAGUGAGUGAGCACUUAAAUAAUCCCCUGCGGUGUGCGUGUUUGUGAAAACUGGGAGUGAGAAAGGGGCUUGUGCGCGCGCGCGUACAUGACAGGUUAUGUGCAUGCGCAAUCUUGGAGAUAAGACAUUCUUCGUCUAUUCUCACUGUAAGCGUGUUUGAGUGAGUGGGUUUGAGGCAUAUAGGGAUGGAGAGAAGACCAGUAACGCCGGGUUCAAUCCCCUCUCGCAAGCAUCACUAACAUAACAGCAAUCGUAGCCUAGCCUACACGUCGGCCUUAAAGUGCUAAGGCUUUUACAUCCCGCAUUGCAUUAGACAGUGUAAUAUUCCACCGUGUUUAGUACCUGUUUUUUUUUUUCUCCCGUCCGCCACUGGGUUGACAAAUGUUUAGAUUCCCAACAGGGUACCGCGGAGCCCCAAACGCGCAGGGCCAAACGGCUUCGCACUCUGUCACCUCUGCACAGUUCAUUUUCUCUUGCAGGUCAGAGCUUGAAACCCCCCCGGGAGCGGUGUUGUUCGACAUCUAAUGCUCCAUUGGGGUCCAUUUUAAGAUCAUAAAGAGGGACGGAGGCGGCCAAGUGCCCGGUCAGAAGGGCUAAACGAGGAUUACAGCGCACUAGCACAUGUUUCUGCAUCGUGGGCAAUAAUAGGCUUCAUUAGCCUGUAAUUAUCAGAAACAAUACAUACAGACACACACACGAUGGAUGUUUGCCUGUGAACAUGGCAUCAGUAGACCCAUACAGACAAAGAGAAGUGGGACAGAUCAAAGGGAGGAACCACACUGUCGCCCCCUCCCAAACGGAUGCCGACUGAUGAGAAAAUAUGCGGCGGUUGAGCCAAAGCCCCUUUAUUAUUGGUUAAAUGUGGGGUGAACAACCAUAGUCUGAUUCCAUUUUCAAGGUUUUGCUUUCUCAUGUACAAUAUUGCUCUUGGAAAGCAAUAUCAACGGUGUAUAUGCUGUAUGGAUAAUGUACACAACUAAUUCUGCAUGUUGUCCGUAAUGAUCAUUUCCAAUUGGCCAAUAAAUAAAAACAUUGAUAUACUGAACUAGGUUCAAUGAAAAAACUCUUAUAACAGAGGGAUCUUUGGAGUUCAUCAUUAGUUAUUAUAUUCACUGGCGAUUAAAGCUGUGUAUCAAUGUCAUUCACAAAUUGGAUGUUAUUAACCCCAUGUUGACUGCCCUGAUUGUCAGUUGCUCUGGAUAAGAGGGACUUAAAUGUAAAAUGGAAACAUAUUAAAGAUGAAGCAGAUGUG